rnacentral:rRNA from 1 species
AGCGAACGCUGGCGGCAGGCUUAACGCAUGCAAGUCGAACGGUCCUUCGGGAUAGUGGCGGACGGGUGAGUAACACGUGGGAACGUACCCUUAGGUUCGGAACAACACAGGGAAACUUGUGCUAAUACCGGAUAAGCCCUUCGGGGGAAAGAUUUAUCGCCUUUGGAGCGGCCCGCGUCUGAUUAGCUUGUUGGUGAGGUAAUGGCUCACCAAGGCUACGAUCAGUAGCUGGUCUGAGAGGAUGGCCAGCCACACUGGGACUGAGACACGGCCCAGACUCCUACGGGAGGCAGCAGUGGGGAAUCUUGCGCAAUGGGCGAAAGCCUGACGCAGCCAUGCCGCGUGGAUGAUGAAGGUCUUAGGAUUGUAAAAUCCUUUCACCGGGGACGAUAAUGACGGUACCCGGAGAAGAAGCCCCGGCUAACUUCGUGCCAGCAGCCGCAGUAA